GAUGAACGCUGGCGGCGUGCCUAAUACAUGCAAGUCGAGCGAAUGGAUUAAGAGCUUGCUCUUAUGAAGUUAGCGGCGGACGGGUGAGUAACACGUGGGUAACCUGCCCAUAAGACUGGGAUAACUCCGGGAAACCGGGGCUAAUACCGGAUAACAUUUUGAACCGCAUGGUUCGAAAUUGAAAGGCGGCUUCGGCUGUCACUUAUGGAUGGACCCGCGUCGCAUUAGCUAGUUGGUGAGGUAACGGCUCACCAAGGCAACGAUGCGUAGCCGACCUGAGAGGGUGAUCGGCCACACUGGGACUGAGACACGGCCAAGACUCCUACGGGAGGCAGCAGUAGGGAAUCUGCCGAAAUGGACGAAAGCCUGACGGAGCAACGCCGCUUGAGUGAUGAAGGCUUUCGGGUCGUAAAACUCUGUUGUUAGGGAAGAACAAGUGCUAGUUGAAUAAGCUGGCACCUUGACGGUACCUAACCAGAAAGCCACGGCUAACUACGUGCCAGCAGCCGCGGUAA
rnacentral:rRNA from 1 species